GACGGAGGGGGCUAGCGUUGUUCGGAAUUACUGGGCGUAAAGGGCGCGUAGGCGGAUUAGUAAGUUGGGAGUGAAAGCCCGGGGCUUAACCUCGGAACUGCUUUCAAAACUGCUAGUCUUGAGUGAAGUAGGGGAUGAUGGAAUUCCUAGUGUAGAGGUGAAAUUCUUAGAUAUUAGGAGGAACACCGGUGGCGAAGGCGGUCAUCUGGGCUUCGAACUGACGCUGAGGCGCGAAAGCGUGGGGAGCAAACAGG
rnacentral:rRNA from 1 species